CGGGGGAGCACCACAACAGGUGGAGCCUGCGGUUUAAUCGGACUCAACGCCGGGAAACUCACCAGAUAAGACAGCUGAAUGAUAGUCGGGCUGAAGACUCUACUUGACUAGCUGAGAGGAGGUGCAUGGCCGUCGUCAGUUCGUACUGUGAAGCAUCCUGUUAAGUCAGGCAACGAGCGAGACCCACGCCAACAGUUGCCAGCUCGUCCUCCGGGAUGGUGGGGACACUGUUGGGACCGCCUCUGCUAAAGAGGAGGAAGGAAUGGGCAACGGUAGGUCAGCAUGCCCCGAAUUAUCUGGGCUACACGCGGGCUACAAUGGGUGGGACAAUGGGUAUCGACACCGAAAGGUGAAGGCAAUCUCCUAAACCCAUCCGUAGUUCGGAUUGUGGGCUGCAACUCGCCCACAUGAAGCUGGAAUCUGUAGUAAUCGUGUCUCAAAAUGGCACGGUGAAUAUGUCCCUGCUCCUU
rnacentral:rRNA from 1 species